rnacentral:rRNA from 1 species
AAAUCCCGCUGGUUAAUACCUGGCAGGAGGACAGUACCGGAAGAAUAAGCACCGGCUAACUACGUGCCAGCAGCCGCGGUAAUACGUAGGGUGCAAGCGUUAAUCGGAAUUACUGGGCGUAAAGCGUGCGCAGGCGGUUGUGCAAGUCUGAUGUGAAAGCCCCGGGCUUAACCUGGGAACGGCAUUGGAGACUGCACGACUAGAGUGCGUCAGAGGGGGGUAGAAUUCCACGUGUAGCAGUGAAAUGCGUAAAGAUGUGGAGGAAUACCGAUGGCGAAGGCAGCCCCCUGGGAUGACACUGACGCUCAUGCACGAAAGCGUGGGGAGCAAACAGGAUUAGAUACCCUGGUAGUCCACGCCCUAAACUUGUCAACUAGCUGUUGGGGUUUUGAAUCCUUGUUAGCUUAACUAACGCGUGAAGUUGACCACCUGGGGAGUCCGUCCGCAAGGUUAAAACUUAAAUGAAUUGACGGAACUCUCAAUUAA